rnacentral:piRNA from 1 species
UGAGUCAUUCAUUUGCUGUGGGCUGU